GUCCCGUUCCACGCACCAAGUAGACCAGGAGGCCCAAGCUGAAAGGUAACAGCGUCUAGUUCCGGGGGCCCAGGAAUCCCAUAAGAGGUCCUUAGUAGCCUGCGAUAGUCCGCUGACUUGCCAGGAACCCCGGAAAGAGUCCAAGCCACCAGGGGCAGACGGUCUUCCAAGAGAAGUGGGUGAAGAUUCCCUUUGGGAUCCAUGAGCAGGUCCGGAAAGGAUGGUAGGAGUAGAGGGUCCUUGCAGGAGGAGGCCAGGAGAUCCGGGAACCAUGGUUGGCUC